rnacentral:rRNA from 1 species
UACGUAGGGGGCAAGCGUUGUCCGGAUUUAUUGGGCGUAAAGAGCGUGUAGGCGGCUAGAUAGGUCCGUUGUGAAAACUCGAGGCUCAACCUCGAGACGUCGAUGGAAACCAUCUGGCUAGAGUCCGGAAGAGGAGAGUGGAAUUCCUGGUGGUAGCGGUGAAAUGCGCAGAUAUCAGGAAGAACACCCGUGGCGAAGGCGGCUCUCUGGUACGUGACUGACGCUGAGACGCGAAAGCGUGGGGAGCAAACAGG